CGUGACCACGACAUCCGGUUGCUGGGUCCUAACGUGUUUGAAGGACGUGUCCAGGUCAGACGGGAUGGGACGUGGGGUUCUAUCUGCCCUCGUUGGUUGAGGAAUUCAGAAGCAAUUGUGGUCUGUAGACAACUGGGGUUUGAGAACGGACGAGUAGACAGCAGGUACCGGUUUGGCACAGGGCGGAUGGCUGUGUCCAACCUACAGUGUCGCGGCAAUGAGGACAAUAUCUACGAGUGCGGACAUGACAGCCUGGACCAACCUCCUCAGUGCCAAACUGGGCGCAACCGAAAUGACCUGGGUGUAGUGUGCGAGGGUCUUAGGAACAGGGGAGGUGUCCACUGGAAGGGGCUGAAUUUCGUCACAACGGAUCCGUCCAUGUACUCAGUGAUACAAAAUGUCGACGUUCUCCAUGGGGGUUCGACAAACACAAACGCUGCCGUCAACAUCACGGCAGUUUCUCCCGAACUACACAACGUCACUAUCAAGUACAGCGGUCAGGCAGCCAUCCACAUCAACAAUCCAACCACUCCGUUCCAAAUAUCGAACUGCGAGAUCUCUGAUAACAGUGGAAUCGGACUUUUACUUAAUAACCCUUCGCAAAAUAUCAUAGUUUCUUCAACAACUUUUGCAAGAAAUUUUCCUGCAGGAAUGCACGUUACGGGUGCCCACAGCACAGCGCAUUCUUUCCAUCAACACAAGCACAUUCAUCGAGAACAGCGGUGCAGGUCUGAUGCUGUCAGGUGUUCCGAUGAGGGUCGCCGUCAAUGACUCCGUGUUCAACUUCAAUUCUCACUACGGACUCAGUAUCUCGUCUGACAGAGUCACCAACCUUGAAAGUCACGGUUGCCAUUUUGAUCACAAUGGCCUUAACGGUGUUCAUAUCCGUUACACAAGCGUCCUCUCCUCGGAAUCGACCACUACAGUGAUGAGCAAUGGUGUGGCAGACUGUAAUGGUGGUAGAGGACUUGACCUUGAAAUCAGCUACGAUGAUAGAUUUAGUGUGCCGCUUGUAGAUCAAGUCGAUAUUUUAGGUUCCG